rnacentral:rRNA from 1 species
UAUUGGUCAAUGGGCGGGAGCCUGAACCAGCCAAGCCGCGUGAGGGAAGAAGGUACAGCGUAUCGUAAACCUCUUUUGUCAGGGAACAAAGGCGGGGACUAGUCCCCGGCAGAGGGUACCUGAAGAAAAAGCAUCGGCCAACUCCGUGCCAGCAGCCGCGGUAAUACGGAGGAUGCGAGCGUUAUCCGGAUUUAUUGGGUUUAAAGGGUGCGCAGGCGGCCUGUUAAGUCAGCGGUAAAAGCCCGGGGCUCAACCCCGGCGAGCCGUUGAAACUGACGGUCUUGAGUGGGCGAGAAGUAUGCGGAAUGCGUGGUGUAGCGGUGAAAUGCAUAGAUAUCACGCAGAACUCCGAUUGCGAAGGCAGUAUACCGGCGCCCAACUGACGCUGAAGCACGAAAGCGUGGGUAUCG